UAUACAUUUUCAAUGAAUAUUUCGAUAAAAACAUUUAGGGAGGCCAAUUAUGUAUAAUUAAUAACAAAAUAAUCAAAAAUAACAAAAAAAUAUUAUUAAAAAAAUAUUUUUUUCCCCAAAUGUGGGGGCCUACCCCGGUCCGCCCCUGCAUAUUACUACGAUAAGACAAAUGGUAUGAUUCGAAUUUGACCAUUUUAUGAUUAUUUAAGAUUUGUUGCCCAUGACUAUAUAUUUGAACAAGUGCAAAGUCAGAACUUAAAUUCAACGGUAUCAAAAUUAUCAGAAAUUAUGUUUAGUAAGGUUAAAAUUAUAAAAUUUAUAAAAGUUAUGACAAAUUACUAUUUUUUUGUUAGAUCAAAAUUAUAUUAUGGAUAGUAGUGCAAGUGCAAAGUCAGGAAUUAAGUUCAGCGGUAUCAAAAUUGUCAAAAAUUAUGUUCAAUGAGGUUAAAAUUAUAAAAUUUAUGACAAAUUAUUUUUUUUUUGUCAGGUCAAAAUUAUAUUUAUAAUAAAUUAUAUUAUAGAUAGUAGUGUAAUUUUUAUCCGUCAAUUAACCUUACUUGCCUUGUAAUAGCUCCGCCCAUGAAUUAUAAUCAUGUGUCUGUCCCUGGAAAUGGUUAUAAUAUUCAUUUUCUAUUUACUCUUUCUCAAAUUUUAUUUUUUUAGCAGUUGCAUCCUUAAAUUAUUAUUAUUAUUAUUAUUAUUAAUAUUAUUUCACUAAAUACUUGAGGCACUGAGAAUGUGCUGUACAGUAAGUACUACGAUCCAAUUGAAUCUUAAAGCCGUGAAGGAGCAGGACAAUCAAAGUCGUCCUGCAUGUGUGGUGCAUAAUUCACGCACAGACUCACCUGCUUGGUUCAUGAUUUUGGUCUCCCACACACAGGACACUAGUACUCAACUACUAACCAGUCGACAAAUGUUUCAAAAUUAUUUUUUUGCAUAAUAUUUUUUUAAAAAUAGAAAAAUAUUCAGUAAUUAUAAAAAAUCACUUUCUCCCUGUUUUUAGAAUCAAUUUUACAAAAUAAUUUUAAAAAUUAAUUCGGGGGACAAUUUUAUAACCUUGUGUUUUAUGAAGAUUUUUCAAAAAAAAAAAUAGAAAAUAUCAGGAAGAUAUUCUCCAAUCCUCAAAAACCAUUUUCUCCUGUUUUUAAAAUCAAUUUUGUAAAAUAAUUUUCAAAAAUUAUUUAAGGUAAGGGUUUUUUAACCGUGUUUCUGAAUAUUUUUCAAAAUAAUAAAAAAACUUAUUUUUUUUAUAAAAUAUUAGAAAGAUGUUGUCUAAUUCUCUAGAUGUUCUUUAAUGCUGCACAAGUAAAUUAAUUUCAUAAACUUUUCUUACUUAACCGUCUCUUAUCACGUCACUUUAACAAUUUUCAAAAUAAUAAAAAAUUUAGUUUAUCCGUCAAUACCUGUUAACAAUUUGAUCGGAAUGAAUGCAUAUAAAAAUUCACAUAGUCAUUUUUAAGGACCAAAUAAAAAUUUUGGCCAAACUACAGGGACCAAUGGUGAUAAAACACCAGCUAAUGCUUUCACAAGCUAUAACAGAUGCAAAAAAGCUGGUUUGAAGGCAGCAAGACUGGCACACGCCAGCAGACAGGUUUAUAUCAUUAUAGGCUUACUAUAUAUAACCAUGCGCACUGAUUCUACUUCUGAAUCGAUUUGAUCGGUUCUGAGUUCUGAGUUCUGAGUUCUGAGUCAGUUCUCCCAUAGAUUCUCUAGACUUACCCAGUAGGACCAGGCUGAUGUAAAGUUUAAUAGUUAGCUUUGGUUGGUGGGUGGCGAUGACUUCUAGGCAUGGAGAAUCAUAACUAAUAUGUUUUAGGAUUAAUUUCAUAAAUACCCAUUAAACUAUUACAUUUUAUUAUUUUCACAUUCUCAAUUAAAACGUAUAUCAUAUUGACUUAUUUAAUUAUUUAAAAAUAUCACUUAUAUCUUUUCUAUUACUAAUUUAUUUAAAAUAGUGAUGAAAAUCAAUCACGCGUUGUCCACGUGCUUAAAUUAAAUAUCAUUAUGUCUAAAAUACCAUUAUUUUUUUAAUAAAAAAUAAGCAAUACUCCAUGCACAAGCUUAUUCAGUCAUUGUGAGAAUAAACGUAACCCUUAUUAAUAAGCCUUUAAAUAGAGCGUUAACUAAAUUUUUUUAUUAAAAAAAUAAUAAUAUUUUUGAGAAAUUAUGAUAAAAACAACUUUCAAAAAUCAAUAAUCAAACAAAAAUUUAUGAAAAUUAUUCUGCAAAAUUAACUCUGAAAACUAAACCAAACAGAGCUUUUGAGUAAAGUUUUGAGCUUACUUUAGUUAUUUAAACAUUCUACUUGUAAGAUAGUGUGAGAAAAAAAUUAAAUUUAUUAUGGGAUUACUAAUGUCCGAUUAACCUUAUAUAUAUUGAAAAAAUGAUAAUUUUUACCAGGUUAUACAAUAUAAUUAGAUAAAUAGUUCGGUAAUUGAUACAAAUUCAGAAUGGGCCAUACAAGUGACCAGUUUUACUUUAAAACUUAAACAAGCGUACCAUGAUUAAUACAGUGAACCAGAGAAUUGUCUCAUUACACACUGUUUUUUGAUCAUAAAUAUUUUCCAGGGCCAGUUCUUCCAUUGCUUUCAAUAAUUCAACAUGAACUCAUCAAUAGUUCAGUUCUUAUAUUCCUAAUAGAACGGAUCAGCCUUCUCUAUAGUUUAAGUAUUUGGGGUUCUGUUUUGAAUGAGAACUUUAAGAAUAUUAAAAAUUAUGUUAAUCGAAUACGAAUCAGUGGUCGAUCGAUAUCAUUUUAUUUUAAAAUAAAUGGGUAUAAUCCUAUGUGUCACAAUCAUUUAUUAAAUUAUAAAAUAGUACUGAAUGGAUAUCGAUUUGUAUCCGGUCAACGUGAUGUUUCUACAAUAUUGAUAUUUAUUUUUUACAGUAUUAAUUUUCAUGAUAGAGUUUAUAAUAUGUACGUUUUGGAUCAUCAAAAUGAUCUCAAAAUGGUACCAAAAUGUCUGGAUUAUACUUUACCGUCCAAAUGCAGAGAAGUUGUGUCCUUAAUUUGAUGUUAUUUAAUAAAUUAAUUAUAUAUAAAUUGAAUGUAUCAUAGAUGAGAAGGUUUUAUUAUUAAUCUAUAAUUAAUUGGUUGCCUGCAUUUGUUUUUUAUUAAUGCCGGCCCAAAUAAUUAAUGCUUUGGUCAAAAUCUGAAAACCCAAAUAAUUAAUAUUUGGCUGUUGGACUAUUGAAGAAAAUAAGAUUAAUUGUACAAAUUUAUGUAUAAUAAUCAUUUUUUAAUUUUUUUUAGACAAUAUCAAUUCAUUUCUUAUAAUUUUCCUAAGCAAACCCAGAAAAAAAAACCAUGUUAUGAGAUAUUACUAAGCUUAAAGCCUUAAAUAUUGAUAAGCACAAAAAAUUAUAAUAUUAUUUGAAAAACUAAAGCAUCCGCCCUAAUAUUUCUAAAAAGGACGACUUUAUAACUGAACCUAAACAGUUUUCAUAUUUUGAAAGUUCUGUAUCAUAAUAUCAUUAUGAAGUCUACUAAGAACAUCCCACUUUAUGUAUAGCACUAACUAAUCAAUCAUCAAUCCAUUGAUCACUAUUCAACUAAUGUAAUUUUAAAAAAAUGCAGGAGGUGCACGUGCACCUUCUGGUCACAUGUCUCGUCCGCCCCUAGAGGUAUUGACAUCGAUAGCUACAUAAUCCAAGAACUUUUAUUUUAAAAGAAAUGAAUUUCAAGUAUUAUUUUGAGAAUAAUUUUACGAUGUACAAAUGUUAUCCGAUCAUAUUUGUAUUAAUGAUUGAUCAAUUUAUUCAUUGAUCGAUCAUAUGUUUAGCUGCUCUACAAAAUGAAUAAUUCAAAUUACGAAAAUGGACAUAGGGUGAAACCACGAAAAGAAUACUAUGUGAUGCAUUGCAUUCAGUUACAUCGGGGACACAAAAUUCCCUACAAGACUACAACUAAAUAAAGUUAAUCUGGCUUUUUUUUUAUUAUUAUUAUUCUCUAACUAACCCAAUUUAGGAAAUGUCUUUGGAUUAGAACCCAAAUUAAUUAGUCCUAUCCGCAAUCUAUUUUCUCGAAUCAUUCCCAAAAUUAAUGUCUUUUGUGAAAAGAGCUAGUGCGUUGGACUCGCGCUAAAUAUGGUACAAGGAGCAAAAGAUAAUGAAAUUAAAUAGAACCCACCAGUUAAAAAUAAAAAGCUCAGAACUAAAAAACGCAUUUAGCUUGAGGACAACAAGAAUUUAAUUUAGAGGUGGCAACAACAUGAUUUUUUGCCCAAUUAAAAAGUUAAAAAACCAAUAUAGAAAAAUAGCAAUAAUUUGUAUAAAACUAACUUUAACUCAAUCUAUCUGCUAAAGUGAGGUAACUUGACUUAUGUUCGACGAUUUUUCAUAAAAUUGAAAACAUCUAAAAUUGACAGAUCUACAUAACUUGGAGGUAACCCCCAUCACUUGUCUCCCUAGAUCGAUCGAUGAUGCAAACUUUAAAGCCACUGUUUUGGGGAGAGAGGGGGGAGAGAGAAUUUGCCCCCGGGCACAUAGCGUAGUAGUUGAGGACGAGCUUCCGAGAUGACGGAGCCCCCUAAUGCCCUGGUUUCGAUUUCUUACCACUGUUGCUGCAUAACCGCGUUUGCAUCUUGUGGGUGUAAAAGGUUAGCUGUCGCAAAUAACAGAUUAGUCUAGAUUUCAAAAUACUAUUAUUAAUAAAUAAAAAAAAAAGAGGGGGGAUGAGAAUUUUUUUGAUCGAUCGAUGAUACAUACGUACAACUCUCUCACGGUAGAACCGACAACAUAGAGGCGGAUCCCACGCACUCUAUGAUGAGAAUCUGAAAUAUGGAAAAAGGACACGCACUUGCGUCAAUGGCUUCCGCUCCACUACUAACAAAGCAAGGGGGUACGUUAUUUUUUGCUUUUGACAAGGUACAAAAGUUUUUGCUCCUAUCCUAUUACAAAUCCAUGAAAAGGGGUAGAUUUCAUCGUUGGUCCCUGUAAUAAGAAAAGUUUUAUUUUGGUGCCUAUAAUUUCAAGUUGAACCAUUAUAACCCAGAAGUUUUCAAUCAAUUCAAUUUAGUCCCUCCAUUCAAAUUCGUUAAAAAUAUUAACAGAAAAUGCAAAAAUAAAAUUAAAAAAUCCAUUCAAAUUUACGUUAGUAUUUUUAACGAAUUUGGAUAGAGGGACCACAUUUCAACUAAUUGAAAAUUAUAAAGUUGUAUUUGUUUCAAUUAUCAAUUAUAAUUUCAAGAAGUAAAGAAAAUUUUUUCUAAACUACUGGAAUUGAUGAUAACAUUACCCACGAAAGAACUAUUCGUAUUGACUGUAUUCAGGGCUGUAAAAUAAUUCAGUUUACUUCUUGUUUCUAAGUUUUUUUUACCAUAAUUACUUUCGAGAGAGAAAAAAAAAACUUGUUUGCUUGACGGUUUUGAAAACUUAUUUUCUCAAAAUAUGUGAUAUUUAUAAAAUGUUUUUAUGUCAUUUCACAGGUAUUAAGAUCUGUCUAUUUGACAUGCCACUCCAAAUCACAUGGAUUGAUUCAUUUUUAGACAUAUGUUAUGGGUAAGGGGUAAUUUCCUAAUUUUUAAUAUCAAUAGAUUGCAUAUGAUUCAUCCUAAUUACUCAAAGGUUAGCUAUUUUUGAGGUGUUAGUAUGAAAUGUAUUGUUUUGGGUAGGGAGCCAUUUACCAUGAGAACAAAAGCUAAGAGUUAGUUAGCACAAAUUAAACUUUAGACCCAUUUGAUUCAGCUUCUAAAAUUUUAGACCCGUCUUUCCAAUUUAUCUGACCAUUUUAGAAUAUCCCAAAAUAUUUGUCCAAUUUAAAAAUUUAUAACAUAAAAUAUAUUAGUUUUCAUACACUAUCACUUACAAAUAAUCGUAAAUACUUGAAGUGAAUUAAAUGCACAUUGCCUUGAAAGGUAAAAACUUUCAAAUGAACAAACAAAAUAGGACAGAGAAAGCAAUUGCAUGCCCAGUGGACGUGACAUUAAUGGGCGGCUCAGGAGAAUGCUAUAUAAAUAAAAAAAAUAUCUGACAAAAUUAAAUUUUAUUAGUUAGAGUUUAAUAGAUUUUGAAGGCUAUAGUUCAAAUCUUAGGGAUUAGACCAGGUAAUAACCUAAUAUACAUUGAACAAAAAGACUACAUGUAGCUGGAAGUAAUAAACUUUUGGAAUUUGAAAUAAAAUCUUGAAAGAACUUAUUAAAACUUAUUGUGACAUGUAAUAAUAAAAUCUUAAAACUAUAAAUAAAAUGAUUAAAUGAUCAUACGAAUAACUCAACUGUGACAUCAGUUCAUAAACUAAUAAUUUGAAAAAAUAUAUUAAUAAUAAAGUGAUACGAAUAACUCAAUAGUUACAUUAGUUCAUAAAUUAAUUAUUUGAAGAAAAAAAGUAUUAAUGAUUAAAUAAUACGAACAACUCAAUUGUGACAUCAGUUUAUAAACUAAUUAUUUGUAAAAAAUAUUUGCUUCUGGGCAUUACCCCUUGAGAGCUUCACUUAAUCCAAUAUACCUUAUUAUAUAACCUAUGAAAGGAAAUAAAUUUUUAAUUAAUAAUUACACUUAAUUUAUAUUGCUUGUUUUAUGUAGCGAGGAGUUGGUUCUUAACAAGAUUCUAUUCUUUCACAUAAAAGGAAAAUUAUUACAAAAGAAAAAAAAGAAAAAAAAAAAGGGGAAAUUACAUAAGAAAACCAUCAUGGGAACAAAUUAAACUCUAUAAUUUUAAUUAUAAUAAAUUAAACCCUAAAUUUGAAUAUGGUAAUAAUUUAAAUUAUCUAUUAGUCUCCGUCCACCUAAGAUGAACCAAAACAACUGAUUUCCAUAUGAAAACACGUCAUAUGUGAUCUUUCCCCUUUUAAAAACUCAAAUAGCAUAAAAUUAUAAUACAAACUUAGUGUGUUUAAGGCAAACACAACACUUAAACUCUCUAAUUUGCAUUAUAAUUGAUUCGAUUAUUAGGCUUUUAAAAAAAUAUAGCCUUAUACGAAGUUGUUUUCAUGCAUUUUGCAUGAGAAUCACUUAGUUACACUAGUUUUAAAUAGAUAAAGACUAAUAAAUUAUUAAAUUAUUAUCGAAUUAAAAUUAUAAUAUUUAAUUUAUUACAAUUAAGAUUAUAAAAUUUAAUUUAUUUCAAUGCUCAAAUUCUGUUUGUUUUUUUUUAAUUUUUUCCAAGACAAGAGAUAGAAACCAUGACAGAGAAAUGUGGAGACGUGGCAGAAUAAUCACAUGGCGAGGGACCAAUGUGAAGGUGGAGGUGUCAGCAAGGCCGAGCCCUUGUUUUCAUUUUCAUUGUUGGAAAGCUGCACUAUCGUGCGCACGUCACCAUCUUGAUGCCCACCGCCUUAGCCCCACAAUUCAUUUAUUUUUGGUUUACAAAAUGUAGAAAAAAGUAAUUUUUAUUUUAUACCUUUCACCUUUCACUUUUUGUUAUUUAUAUUUUAAUUUAAAUAUAUUUAAUUUUAAAUUUUAGAGAUAAUUACAAUAUGGACCCUUCGUUCACAUCUGUUAUAAUCUGCGAAUGAAAAUAGUCACGUGCCAUUCACAUAAUCUAUACAAAGAAAAAAAUAGUUUUUUUGAUAGUUUUUGAUAUAAAAAUAUUUUUUUUCAGUAUUUAGUGAACUUUUAUCCAAAUUACAUGUAAAUUUUUAUAUUUUUAACAAGAACCGAUAAAUUACAAAUUUUUGAUAAAACAGUGGAAAAAAAUCACUAAAAACGAAAAUAAUAUUAUAUUUAUACUAAUUUAAAAACUCUAAUAUUGUCAUGUGCUUGAAAGUUGAAAUAUAGCCAUUUUUAUCUAUAAAUUCUAACGAAUAUGAAUAAAAGGUCCACGUUACAAUUAUUUUAAACUGGAAACACAAGGCUGAUCAGAUCCAGCCUUUGAUCAAAGUUUCUUACUUUUAUGAUUUACUUUAACUAGAAUAACUCGAAAAUAAAAAACUAAUUAAAGAAUUUAAUAAAUUACUUUUAAAAAAUUUAUCCUCAGUGGGGUUUUUUUUUCCAACUUUAUUCAUUCAUUUUUUUUUUUUACUUUUACUGUGUUUGGACUCAAAAAGCUAAAGAUUUGGUUUGUUUUUAAAAAAUUACUGCAGAAAACUGGAUUUUUAAAAACACCUAACAGGGUAGUCAUUUUGCAACUUUUAAUUUUAGAAAAUUACUUUCAAAAACAAAAAUAUUAAAAAAACGGUAACAGAAACUUAUCCGUUUGUUUUAAUUUCCUUUUUUUUUUUACUGCUCUAGUUGGUUUUAAACCUUUGAGUCUGUACAUCUGACUAACUCCGUUAACUUUCUAACGCCACCCCCAUUCCCGUAAUUUCUCCAAGGAGACCCCUGCAAACUUCUAUUUGGAAUGUGCUGUCACGCGCUGUCAACACGCGUUAGAUGCAACGUUUGACCCACCUCUGUUCACGUGGGUCUGGGUAAUGUACCAAUGAAAUGUUAUUUCUGUAGUUCUGUGAUAAGAGUAUCAAUAGUCUCUCCCCCUACUGUUCAUCUUUUUCCCCGCGCAUUCAAUAGCGCGUAGAGAAUACGAAAGAAAAUUAAUGCAAUCAAUCAAAACUUAUGCUUUUUACUUUUCACCAAAUGUAUUUUAUUUGUUAUUAUGUAAGAUUAUAAUAAUGUCCUUAAUAUUUUUUUGCAAUACUGAAAUUAUCCCUUCUCAUACAAUUACACUUUUACUUAUUUUUUUAUAUUUGAGGGGUAGUUUAGGCAUUUAUUAAAAAUUUGUAUGUCUGACUAAAAAAUAAUUAUACUAAAACCUGAAUUACGUUUUUUUAAAUGUUUUAUAUGUUUUACUAUUUAGGUAAAUUCAGAUAUUAAAUCAUUAUUUUUUAUAUUUUAUUAAUUAUAUUUUUUAUUAAUUUUUAGAGCACAUAAUCAGGUGAGUUUGAACCACUUAUUUUGACUUCUUAAAAUUUUUCUUGGUCAAAUUCUGGGACGUAGUAGAGCUCUAAAUAUUUUCAAUAAUUAUAAAAUAUUUUGAUAAUUGUCAAUAAUCUUUGAUAAUUAGAGAGGACUUAAAUGGCAGUUCCAUAAAUAAUGGUAUUCUUUCAUAAUUUUGUACAAAAACUAAUAUUAAAAUAAUAUGACAGUGGCAAUUUUAAAAACAUAAAUCACAGUGAUGGAUGCUUUUGUCUUCGAAUACAAAGUUCACAACUAACUAAAUUAUCUUGUUUAAAAAUUUUUGUACAAUUUUUUUUUAUAUGUCAUUAUUCUUCUAUAAAUUGUUUUGGUUGUUCAUCUUGAAUUUGUUUAAGUAAUUAAAAUAAAUUACAUCAAUUCAAAAAAGAAGUUAACCACGCAUUAAAUAAAGUUCAAGCUAACAACUUAUGAAAAAUAAUAACCAGCACUCAUUGUGUGGUGGUUAAGGAUCCAUGAAUUAUUUAAAAUAGUAAAAAAAAACAUUAAAAAGUGUAAAAAUACAUUAAAAAUUAUAAAAUGUGUAUUAAAAAAUAUUUUUUUAGAUUUUCGUGUUCCUUAACCACCACUCAAUGGAUAGCGAUUAGCAAGACCCAUACCGUAUUAUAGUAAUUUUUAAAAUAUUUCCAAAUUCAAAAUAAUGAUCCUUUUGGGGUAAUUUUUUCCCCAAAAAAUCUAAAAUUUUUGGAGUGUUUUGAGAAUAAAUUUAUUUAGAGUGUGUUUUAUAUAAAUAUAUGAGUUUUUUUACCCUAAUUCACCUUUUUAAAUCAAGAUUUUAAAUAAAUUAGCUUUUUUGUGUACCGCAAACGGAUUCUAGUAGUAAACACAUCAUUAUUUGAAAUGAGUAAUUUUUUAAUGAAACGGUACUAUUAUGUGGCAUUGAUGACGUGAUAUUAACAAUCAAUAAUAUAUUUAUGAAUAUAACUAGUUAUUUUGAAAAGUUAACAUAUUAAGAUUUAUUUUAUAAAAAUAAUAAUUUUGAAUUAUAUGGUAAUACUACCACACAGUAAUAAUGACGUGACAUCACGAUCGUUUGAAUGAGCGUACACAAAUUGUAAUACAAUCUCGCGUCGUCGCAUUCCUAAGCCUGCCAACCGGACCCCACCGUGUUCAUUUUUACCCUUACAGCCCGUUUGGCUGAGGGAUAAGGUGG
rnacentral:lncRNA from 1 species